UACCAAGUUGUGGACGAAAUGGUAAAAAUAGCCAUUUUCGCAUACGAGUGUUGACAAGCCAGCUCGAAAAUCGGAAACGGUCGGAGGCACGCUCACACUAUCUGUAUACCAUCUUGGCAUAAUGGCUUGUAUAUUUUGAGUAUGGCAUGUAUAGCAUUAUAAUCAUUUUAUAUGUAUGGUCUUAUGAUA